rnacentral:lncRNA from 1 species
AUAGGAAAUGCACGGUUUCAUUUCCCAUUAAUGGUUUAAAAUAGACCCAACCCUAUUCAAUUUCACUCUGAGCGAACAGAGAACGAGAAGAUGAUACUGGUGGCUCUCAUGGCGGAGGUGCUGAAGGAAUACACGGCGUUGCUAGCAAGGGUGGUAGAGCAGCUGUUCCGUUCCGCCCCGAUCCCUCAACGCCUUCGUAUUCUCAUCCUCCGUAGUCUUCACUUUGUUUCUUCUCGACCUAGGAGGGUUCAAUUUCAAUCACAUUAGUUUCCAUUUUUGUCCCUUUCCUUCUUCCAUUUGUUUUUAUUUAGAUUUUUGUUUUUGUCUUGUGACAUUGUACCCUACCCUACGUGUAACUUUUGGGCCUUUUUUUUUCUUUCUAUUACAAUAGAUUUGCCUUAUUCUCUCAGAAAUUUUGCAAUUUUUUUCUUUUAGUGUGAAUGAGGUUUCUGCCAUGAGAAUAGUAAUACUUGAUCGUGAUUUCUUGGUUUCUUUAUAGAAACUGCAGAAAUUGAUUCUCAUUAUUGAA